rnacentral:rRNA from 1 species
UACAGAGGGUGCAAGCGUUAAUCGGAAUUACUGGGCGUAAAGCGUGCGUAGACGGUUAUUUAAGUCGGGUGUGAAAGCCCCGGGCUCAACCUGGGAAUUGCAUUCGAGACUGAAUAGCUAGGGUGCGGAAGAGGGAAGCGGAAUUUCCGGUGUAGCGGUGAAAUGCGUAGAUAUCGGAAGGAACACCAGUGGCGAAAGCGGCUUCCUGGUCCAGCACCGACGUUCAGGCACGAAAGCGUGGGGAGCAAACAGG